rnacentral:tRNA from 1 species
GGGAUCAUAGUUAAUUAUAACAUUUGAAUUGCAAUCAAAAAGUACUGAUUUAAUCAGUUUAUCUCA